AAUAAGUACAGUUUUGCGCUGUUUAUGUCCCACGUUUGACCGUUUGUCUUAUUUGAAUUUUUUUAUUAGUAUUUUUAUGUUAUUAAAUGAUAAAACAUGAAUAGUACUUUAUGUGUGACUAAUUUUUUUAAAAAAAAUUAUAUUUUUUAAAAAAAAUUAUAUUUUUUUAAAAAAAAUUAUAUUUUUUUCAAAUAAGACGAACAAUCAAAUGUUGAACACGGAUACUCACGGCUGCACUUAUU
rnacentral:pre_miRNA from 1 species